UACAGAGGUCCCAAGCGUUGUUCGGAUUCACUGGGCGUAAAGAGUGCGUAGGCGGUCGGGUAAGUCUGAUGUGAAAUCUCACAGCUUAACUGUGAAACUGCAUUGGAUACUAUCCGGCUCGAGGAAUGGAGGGGAGACUGGAAUACUUGGUGUAGCAGUGAAAUGCGUAGAUAUCAAGUGGAACACCAGUGGCGAAGGCGAGUCUCUGGACAUUUCCUGACGCUGAGGCACGAAAGCCAGGGGAGCAAACGGG
rnacentral:rRNA from 1 species